CCCUCGGUGGUCUAGGGGUUUAUGAUUCAUCAUUGCAGCACCCAUGCUGCACCGAUAAGGUCGGGGGUUCGAAUCCCUCCCAAAUGG